AGUGAACGCUGGCGGUAGGCCUAACACAUGCAAGUCGAACGGCAGCACAGUAAGAGCUUGCUCUUACGGGUGGCGAGUCGCGGACGGGUGAGGAAUACAUCGGAAUCUACUUUUUCGUGGGGGAUCAGGUAGGGAAACUUACGCUCAUACCGCAUACGACCUACGGGUGAAAGGAGGGGAUCUUCGGACCUUGCGCGAUUGAAUGCGCCGAUGUCGGAUUAGCUAGUUGGCGGGGUAAAGGCCCACCAAGGCGCCGAUCCGUAGCUGGUCUGGGUGGCUGAUCAGCCACACGGGAACGGAGACACGGUCCAGACUCCUGCGGGAGGCAGCAGUGGGGAAUAUUGGACAAUGGGCGCAAGCCUGAUCCAGCCAUACCGCGUGGGUGAAGAAGGCCUUCGGGUUGUAAAGCCCUUUUGUUGGGAAAGAAAAGCAGCAGGUUAAUACCCCGCUGUUCUGACGGUACCCAAAGAAUAAGCACCGGCUAACUUCGUG
rnacentral:rRNA from 1 species